AUACGUAGGGUGCAAGCGUUAUCCGGAAUUAUUGGGCGUAAAGGGCUCGUAGGCGGUUCGUCGCGUCCGGUGUGAAAGUCCAUCGCUUAACGGUGGAUCCGCGCCGGGUACGGGCGGGCUUGAGUGCGGUAGGGGAGACUGGAAUUCCCGGUGUAACGGUGGAAUGUGUAGAUAUCGGGAAGAACACCAAUGGCGAAGGCAGGUCUCUGGGCCGUUACUGACGCUGAGGAGCGAAAGCGUGGGGAGCGAACAGGAUUAGAUACCCUGGUAGUCCACGCCGUAAACGGUGGAUGCUGGAUGUGGGGCCCGUUCCACGGGUUCCGUGUCGGAGCUAACGCGUUAAGCAUCCCGCCUGGGGAGUACGGCCGCAAGGCUAAAACUCAAAGAAAUUGACGGGGGCCCGCACAAGCGGCGGAGCAUGCGGAUUAAUUCGAUGCAACGCGAAGAACCUUACCUGGGCUUGACAUGUUCCCGACGGUCGUAGAGAUACGGCUUCCCUUCGGGGCGGGUUCACAGGUGGUGCAUGGUCGUCGUCAGCUCGUGUCGUGAGAUGUUGGGUUAAGUCCCGCAACGAGCGCAACCCUCGCCCCGUGUUGCCAGCGGAUUGUGCCGGGAACUCACGGGGGACCGCCGGGGUUAACUCGGAGGAAGGUGGGGAUGACGUCAGAUCAUCAUGCCCCUUACGUCCAGGGCUUCACGCAUGCUACAAUGGCCGGUACAGCGGGAUGCGACAGCGCGAGCUGGAGCGGAUCCCUGAAAACCGGUCUCAGUUCGGAUCGCAGUCUGCAACUCGACUGCGUGAAGGCGGAGUCGCUAGUAAUCGCGAAUCAGCAACGUCGCGGUGAAUGCGUUCCCGGGCCUUGUACACACCGCCCGUCAAGUCAUGAAAGUGGGCAGCACCCGAAGCCGGUGGCCUAACCCCUUGCGGGAGGGAGCCGUCUAAGGUGAGGCUCGUGAUUGGGACU
rnacentral:rRNA from 1 species